rnacentral:lncRNA from 1 species
ACUUCUUUAGGCCAGUUAGGAUAUAAUUCAAUUAGAUGACUAUGCAGCCUUUCAAAUGCGUUUGGGUUUUUGUCAAUUGCGUCUUCAUGGUUACAAUGAAAUUAUAUAUAGUCCCCUUGGAGCAUAGAGAUAUAAUUUAUAAAGUAAAGUUUGCUUACUCUCUAGAAUGACGAAGACAAUUUAUGAAUCGUUCAGCUGAUGAACAGUAAAGAAACAUAAGGAUCAAAACAUUCAGUUAUUAUUUCAACAUAAGCCUUUCUGUUACGAUUAAUAUUCUUAAAAUGUUAAUAAAUUAAUAAUAAAUAGUAAUAAAAUAACCUUCUAAUUUUUACAAAAGGAGUUUGGUAUUAUAGUUCAAUGCCUGCUUGCAUUGCAUUCAAUUGUACUUCAAGAACGGUGGUUUUUUCUAGAUCCCCAAAGCACGAUCUUGCAAGUAAAUUGUUGAAAAAGUAUGAACUCAACCACAAUAACGUGAAAAUAAGCUUUUAUCCAUUUCCUAAAAAUCCAGCGCUUCUAAAGCAAUGGAUAGUAAACUGCCGUCACCAAAGCAAACGAAGGCUUCAGAAGCAGAUAACCAAUGCUUAAGAUUUAUGUCGCUAUUUAACAAAAAAAAAAUAUGCUUUCUGGAUUAAAUAAAGAAGUUCUGUCUACUAUAA